rnacentral:misc_RNA from 1 species
CAGGACUCGCAAGACUCCUACAACCCUGUGAACCUACUAUACGAACGUUGCUUCGGCGGGUGCGCCCCGGGGAUUCGUUCCCGAGGCGCGUCAGCCCGCCGGCAGUCUACAAAUUCUGUUUCUUUGCGUUGGCAUCUCGAGAAAAAACAAAUAAGUUA